rnacentral:miRNA from 1 species
AGAUGAUGAUGAUGAUGAUGAUGAUGAUGAUGAUAACGAUGCCGUCAGCUCUGCUGCUAUUAUUGUGUUUUUAUUGUUAUUGUUGUCGUUAUCAUCAUCGUCGCUAUUAUCACAACC